GCCAGUGUGGUGUAGUGGUUUGCGUCCUGGAUUAGAACUCAAGAUCCAGGGUUCAAUCCCUGCUCAAGCA